GUGUCAAAUGAAAUGAGAGCUUAGCACUCCCCUUGAUAAGAAUGGAAGAGGUCCUAGUGACCUUUAGAACACAUAUACACAGUUAAGGCAUUGCCACCUACUCUACGUGCAUGUAACCAUGGUUUGGG
ensembl:snRNA